UGCCCAGCAACUCCUACCUCCUCGUGGUACUGGCCGGGGUACGAGUAACCUUAAUAAAGAUCGGGUAACCUACCCCGGUGGGACCUCUGGUCAUAUGCUGACAGGGAAGG
rnacentral:ribozyme from 1 species